GAUCUAGCCAUGGGCAGGUUGAAGGUUGGGUAACACUAACUGGAGGACCGAACCGACUAAUGUUGAAAAAUUAGCGGAUGACCUGUGGCUGGGGGUGAAAGGCCAAUCAAACCGGGAGAUAGCUGGUUCUCCCCGAAAGCUAUUUAGGUAGCGCCUCGUGAAUUCAUCUCCGGGGGUAGAGCACUGUUUCGGCUAGGGGGCCAUCCCGGCUUACCAACCCGAUGCAAACUGCGAAUACCGGAGAAUGUUAUCACGGGAGACACACGGCGGGUGCUAACGUCCGUCGUGAAGAGGGAAACAACCCAGACCGCCAGCUAAGGUCCCAAAGUCAUGGUUAAGUGGGAAACGAUGUGGGAAGGCCCAGACAGCCAGGAUGUUGGCUUAGAAGCAGCCAUCAUUUAAAGAAAGCGUAAUAGCUCACUGGUCGAGUCGGCCUGCGCGGAAGAUGUAACGGGGCUAAACCAUGCACCGAAGCUGCGGCAGCGACACUGUGUGUUGUUGGGUAGGGGAGCGUUCUGUAAGCCUGCGAAGGUGGCCUGUGAGG
rnacentral:rRNA from 1 species